AUACGGAGGAUGCGAGCGUUAUCCGGAUUUAUUGGGUUUAAAGGGAGCGCAGGCGGAGAUGCAAGCGUGACGUCAAAUUUCGGGGCUCAACCCCGUCUCGCGUCGCGAACUGCGUCCCUUGGUUGCGGGAAGGGGAGGCGGAACUCGGGGUGUAGCGGGGAAAUGCAUAGAUAUCACGAAGAACUCCGAUCGCGAAGGCAGCCUUCCGGCCCGUCAACGACGCUCAUGCUCGAAGGUGCGGGUAUCAAACAGGAUUAGAUACCCUGGUAGUCCGCACAGUAAACGAUGGACACCCGCGGUUUGGCCUGUAUGGCUGAGCCGCCAAGCGAAAGCGUUAAGUGUCCCACCUGGGGAGUACGCCGGCAACGGUGAAACUCAAAGGAAUUGACGGGG
rnacentral:rRNA from 1 species